rnacentral:rRNA from 1 species
GACAGAGGUGCCAAGCGUUAGGCGGAAUCACUGGGCUUAAAGCGUGUGUAGGCGGAUCGUUAAGUACCUUGUGAAAUCCCACGGCUCAACCGUGGAACUGCUGGGUAUACUGGCGAUCUUGAGCCACCUAGGGGCGAGCGGAACAAGCGGUGGAGCGGUGAAAUGCGCAGAUAUCGGGAAGAACACCCGUGGCGAAGGCGGCUCUCUGGGACGGUACUGACGCUGAGACGCGAAAGCGUGGGGAGCGAACAGG